rnacentral:rRNA from 1 species
AGAGUUUGAUCCUGGCUCAGAUUGAACGCUGGCGGAAUGCUUUACACAUGCAAGUCGAACGGCAGCACGGGAGCUUGCUCCUGGUGGCGAGUGGCGAACGGGUGAGUAAUAUAGCGGAACAUAUCCUAUCGUGGGGGAUAACUAGUCGAAAGACUAGCUAAUACCGCAUACGUCCUGAGGGAGAAAGCGGGGGCUCGCAAGACCUCGCGCGAUUGGAGUGGCCGAUAUCUGAUUAGCUAGAUGGUGAGGUAAAGGCUCACCAUGGCUUCGAUCAGUAGCUGGUCUGAGAGGAUGAUCAGCCACACUGGGACUGAGACACGGCCCAGACUCCUACGGGAGGCAGCAGUGGGGAAUUUUGGACAAUGGGCGAAAGCCUGAUCCAGCCAUUCCGCGUGAGUGAAGAAGGCCUUCGGGUUGUAAAGCUCUUUCGGCAGGAACGAAACGGCGGAUAUUAAUACUAUCCGUUACUGACGGUACCUGAAGAAGAAGCACCGGCUAACUACGUGCCAGCAGCCGCGGUAAUAC